UACGUAGGGUGCAAGCGUUUGUCCGGAAUUAUUGGGCGUAAAGAGCUCGUAGGCGGUUUGUCGCGUCUGCUGUGAAAACGCGAGGCUCAACCUCGCGCCUGCAGUGGGUACGGGCAGACUAGAGUGCGGUAGGGGAGAUUGGAAUUCCUGGUGUAGCGGUGGAAUGCGCAGAUAUCAGGAGGAACACCGAUGGCGAAGGCAGAUCUCUGGGCCGUAACUGACGCUGAGGAGCGAAAGCGUGGGGAGCGAACGG
rnacentral:rRNA from 1 species